rnacentral:rRNA from 1 species
UACGAAGGGGGCUAGCGUUGCUCGGAAUCACUGGGCGUAAAGGGUGCGUAGGCGGGUCUUUAAGUCAGGGGUGAAAUCCUGGAGCUCAACUCCAGAACUGCCUUUGAUACUGAGGAUCUUGAGUUCGGGAGAGGUGAGUGGAACUGCGAGUGUAGAGGUGAAAUUCGUAGAUAUUGGGAAGAACACCGGUGGCGAAGGCGGCUCUCUGGACCGUAACUGACGCUGAGGCGCGAAAGCUAGGGGAGCAAACAGG